UGAAAGAGGAUAUGGGCCACUUGCUAGAAACCACCCGAGGCACAGCAAAUUUGCACACUGCCAAUCAUGUCCUCGAACAAUGUGUCCUGCAUAAGAAAAAAGAAAGGUUUCAUCAACAACCAGCUGACUAAUCAGGCUGAGCAGCAUUAUGAGGAUGCUGUAAUUCAGCUGGAAGGAAGGAAAGAAAAAGAUGCUCUCAGAGGCUUGUGAUGGGAUCUGCAGACAGGCUUCGUUGCAAUGUCAUCAGCCCAGUUUUGCUUCCCGGAUGGCACAGAGAGGGCAAGAUUCAAAAUGAUGCACAUUCAUCCUAUUUUUAUUUAUAUACACUAAUUACAUGACACCGUAUAACAGAGAUGGGGUUUAAGAUUUUGCAGAGUAGGGGCUAGCACAGGGCAUAGCUGUCAACUUGCAGAUUUGAAAAUAAGGGACCCGCAGCCUCGAAAAUAAGGGAUCAGCAGCCAAAAUAAGGGAUUUUCCAAGCACAGGUAUGUUCAACAUCUGAGCCCCUCCAAGCCAAAGGCAGAAAGCCCAGCCAGCAGCCAAACGAAGCCUCAAGCGGUGGUUCCCACAGCGCAGCAACCCGGCAAAGGGAAUGCAGCAAGGAAAACCACCAUCACCUCUCCGCUGGGAAGCGCUGAGCAAAGGCGAGUCCCCAGGCAACACGGCCAAUUUGAUCGGCACAAGGCAUGCAAGCUCCAAUCCCCCAGUCAUUCUUAGACUCCUUAUUGGGUGAGCAACGCAGCCAAGCAACACAGUUGGAGCCUCCCUCCUCCCUGGCCAGCAGGGAGGGAGGGAGAGGAGCUGCUUCCUUUGAAACCUGGGAAAUUUAAGGGACAUCAUCAAUAAGUGACAGCAGCAGGACACAGUGCUGGGAUAAGGGACUUUCCUGCCAAAUAAGGGAUGGUUGACAGGUAUGGCACAGGGUUAACCAACCUGGCACCCUUUGGAUAUUGUAGACUUCUGACUCCCUUCAUUCCCCUCCCACACCUACAGUUUCCAGAGUUCCCUGUAAAGAGUGUUUGGUCAUUAAACCGCUCUAGGAAUUGUAGCUCUGGGAGUUCCUAAGAACUCUCAGUGCCCUCGACAAACUACAUUUCCCAUGAUUCUUUGGGAGAAGCCACAACUGUUUAAAGUGGUACGAUGCUAUUUAAGUGUAGGGUGGAUGGUGCCUUUAGUCUGAGUGCCCCCAGAGAUCCAGAGCCCAGUUGUAAAUGAAAGUUGCAACUUGUAGAGAAAAGGCAAUUGGAAAUUCCAUCAUCUCUCAGUCCAUCACAGCAAGUGCGUGAAAGAGAGCCUACCUGAAACCUUAACAAAACAGCAUCAAGUCAUUGGUGUUUUCUAAACAGAGAUGGCAUUGGUCUAAUAAUGUAACAGGAGCUGGUUUUAUAGGGUUGGUGUUGCCACACAUAAACCGCCAAGGAAAGCGGGAUCUGCAGGCAGACUUCUCCUGCAGAGCACAGUGAUCAGGUGUGAUACUGUAGCAUCAUAAAGGUAAAGGGUAAAGGGACCCCUGACCAUUAGGUCCAGUCGUGGCCGACUCUGGGGUUGCAACGCUCAUCUCACUUUACUGGCUGAGGAAGCUGGCAUACAGUUUCCGGGUCAUGUGGCCAGCAUGACUAAGCCUCUUCUGGCGAACCAGAGCAACACACGGAAACGCCGUUUACCUUCCCGCUGGAGCAGUACCUAUUUAUCUACUUGCACUUUGUGCUUUCGAACUGCUAGGUUGGCAGGAGCAGGGACCGAGCAACAGGAGCUCACCCCGUCGCAGGGAUUCGAACCGCCGACCUUCUGACCUUCUGAUCGGCAAGUCCUAGGCUCUGUGGUUUAACCCACAGCACCACCCGCGUCCCGUAGCAUCAUAGUAGCUUUAAAUAUUUUGUUGGGAGACGCCCAGAGUGGCUGGAGAAACCUAGCCAGAUGGGCGGGGUAUAAAUAAAUCAUCAUCAUUCCAUGGGACUGUCAGGGAAUGGUAGCUGCCAGCUCAGGAGAAAUGACAACACAAAAUGGGAGGUGGUGAAAAUUGUUUAAAAACUCCAGUAAAACAUAUAAGCCUAAAUCACCAUUUAUCCCAGUGACUUCUGGCCCACUGCAUUUGGUUUCCACAACUUUCUGUAUCUCAUUGUCUUUCAACUCCCACCUUGCAUCCAAGAAAAUGAGAUUGAGCCCCCGAAAGCUUAUGCUGUUCUAUUUCAUUUCAUUUCUCUUUUAAUUUGUACACCACCUUUCCAUAUUACUAUACACAAGGCAGUUUCGAGCAUCCAAAUAUACAGCAAAGAACACCAUAUAAUAAUUUGAUCCAAUGCAAAAAGUCAUAAUAUGACAUAACUUUAAAAUGGAACGACUUAUUUCAAAUAAGGUAAUAUUCAAUAAUCUGUUAGAAUAUAAUAGUGCAAAAUAAAACCAACUCUCAAAACAGCAGCAAAUAGUUAAACAGACAUUCAUUGCAUUUUUGUUAGACUUUGAGCUGCUGCGAAACUCUUUGUUGUAUUUUGUUGUAUUUUGUCAUGAGGCGGCAUUUUUUCCUUCCUUCCUUUGUGUACAUGAAUUAGAGCAUGGGUAGGCAAACUAAGGCCCAGGGGCCGGAUCCGGCCCAAUCGCCUUCUAAAUCCGGCCUGUGGACGAUCCAGGAAACAGCAUGUUUUUACAUUAGUAGAAUGUGUGCUUUUAUUUAAAAUGCAUCUCUGGGUUAUUUGUGGGGCAUACGAAUUCGUUCUUCUUUUCUUCAAAAUAUCGUCUGGCCCCCCACAAGGUCUGAGGGACAGUGGACCGGCCCCCUGCUGUAAAAGUUUGCUGACCCCUGAAUUAGAGAGUAAUUCAGCACAUGCAGGAAACAACUGAUUCAGCAGACUGUUAUGAAAGGUAAUUUGAAACUGAUGCCACCAACUCUGUUUCUUAUACUUCAGCUAUUAUUUACCAGAUUGCCAGGUCUGUUAUAUAUGGGACUGAACACUGGGUGGCAGGAGAAUCCCAUUGACAGCAUUUUCACACCAAUAGCUUACCCGGAGGACAGCUAUUAGAAAGUUUCACUUCUGAAAUUGUGGUCUGAAGCACUACUGCUGCCUUCUGUGUGCAUGGUUCAACAUCUAGAAAGACUGCAUUUGAACUCGCAUCUCACUGUUCUGUUCCAGCCCCCAUUGCCAGCCUUCCCCCCUGCCCAAAUGGAGUCACUUCAGGAAAGGAUGGGUCCAUGCAAAAUGGCAUCUCCACAUGAAGGCAGUUUAUGAACUUGCACUGUAGGCCAGAAGCCCAAAAAUGUCCCCACAUGUGCCAUAUAGAAAGUUCUAGCAAUCC